CAGCCGCCGCGGUAAUACGUAGGGUGCGAGCGUUAAUCGGAUUUACUGGGCGUAAAGCGUGCGCAGGCGGCCCGUUAAGACAGGUGUGAAAUCCCUGGGCUCAACCUAGGAAUUGCGCUUGCGACUGGCGGGCUCGAGUACGGUAGAGGGGGGUGGAAUUCCUGGUGUAGCAGUGAAAUGCGUAGAGAUCAGGAGGAACACCGAUGGCGAAGGCAGCCCCCUGGGCCUGUACUGACGCUCAUGCACGAAAGCGUGGGGAGCAAACAGGAUUAGAUACCCUGGUAGUCCACGCCCUAAACGAUGGGUACUAGCCGUUUGGUGCGCGAUAGCGCUGAGUGGCGAAGCUAACGCGUGAAGUACCCCGCCUGGGGAGUACGGCCGCAAGGUUGAAACUUAAAGGAAUUGGCGGG
rnacentral:rRNA from 1 species